rnacentral:rRNA from 1 species
AUUGAACGCUGGCGGCAUGCUUUACACAUGCAAGUCGAACGGUAACAGGCCGCAAGGUGUUGACGAGUGGCGAACGGGUGAGUAAUGCAUCGGAACGUGCCCAGUCGUGGGGGAUAACGCAGCGAAAGCUGUGCUAAUACCGCAUACGAUCUAUGGAUGAAAGCGGGGGACCGUAAGGCCUCGCGCGAUUGGAGCGGCCGAUGUCAGAUUAGGUAGUUGGUGGGGUCAAGGCCCCCCAGGCCAACGAUCUGUAGCUGGUCUGAGAGGACGACCAGCCACACUGGGACUGAGACACGGCCCAGACUCCUACGGGAGGCAGCAGUGGGGAAUUUUGGACAAUGGGCGCAAGCCUGAUCCAGCAAUGCCGCGUGCAGGAAGAAGGCCUUCGGGUUGUAAACUGCUUUUGUACGGAACGAAACGGUCUGGGUUAAUACCUCGGGCUAAUGACGGUACCGUAAGAAUAAGCACCGGCUAACUACGUGCCAGCCGCCGCGGUAA